rnacentral:rRNA from 1 species
AACCUGCCCAAGAGAUCGGGAUAACACCUGGAAACAGAUGCUAAUACCGGAUAACAACAGAUGAUGCCUAUCAACUGUUUAAAAGAUGGUUCUGCUAUCACUCUUGGAUGGACCUGCGGUGCAUUAGCUAGUUGGUAGGGUAACGGCCUACCAAGGCGAUGAUGCAUAGCCGAGUUGAGAGACUGAUCGGCCACAUUGGGACUGAGACACCGGACCCAAACUCCGUACGGGAGGCAGCAGGA